AACGAACGCUGGCGGCGUGCCUAACACAUGCAAGUCGAACGGAUGUAGCAAUACAUCAGUGGCGCACGGGUGAGUAACACGUGGGAAUCUGCCUUUUGGUUCGGAAUAACAUCGGGAAACUGGUGCUAAAACCGGAUGAGCCCUUCGGGGGAAAAAUUUAUUGCCAAAAGAUGAGCCCGCGUAGGAUUAGCUAGUUGGUGAGGUAAUGGCUCACCAAGGCUACGAUCCUUAGCUGGUCUGAGAGGAUGAUCAGCCACACUGGGACUGAGACACGGCCCAGACUCCUACGGGAGGCAGCAGUGGGGAAUAUUGGACAAUGGGGAAACCCUGAUCCAGCAACGCCGCGUGGAUGAUGAAGGUCUUCGGAUUGUAAAGUCCUUUUGGCGGGGACGAUGAUGACGGUACCCGCAGAAUAAGCUCCGGCUAACUUCGUG
rnacentral:rRNA from 1 species